rnacentral:rRNA from 1 species
GUUGGCAGCCUUAUCACCCUGUAGCCCAAGACUGGUUACCCACUGAAGCUAAGCAGGGCUGAGCCUGGUCAGUACCUGGAUGGGAGGCCUCCUGAACUAGGUUGGUUGCUGCUGGAA